rnacentral:rRNA from 1 species
ACAUGCCUACAACAUAGUGUUAAUGCAUCGUAUUCCAUUACAAAUCUGCAGUUAAGAACGCUCGGGCUAGAGUAGUACUGGGAUAGGUGACCACCUGGGAAGUCUUAGUAUUUUACAUGCC